CUGGAAACGGGUGGUAAUGCCGGAUGCUCCGCACCGUCGCAUGAUGGUGUGGGAAAGGGUUUACCGGCAUGGGAUGGGGUCGCGUCCUAUCAGCUUGUUGGCGGGGUGAUGGCCUGCCAAGGCUUCGACGGGUAGCCGGCCUGAGAGGGCGACCGGCCACAUUGGGACUGAGAUACGGCCCAGACUCCUACGGGAGGCAGCAGUGGGGAAUAUUGCACAAUGGGCGAAAGCCUGAUGCAGCGACGCCGCGUGCGGGAUGACGGCCUUCGGGUUGUAAACCGCUUUUGAUUGGGAGCAAGCGAGAGUGAGUGUACCUUUCGAAUAAGCACCGGCUAACUACGUGCCAGCAGCCGCGGUAAUACGUAGGGUGCAAGCGUUAUCCGGAUUUAUUGGGCGUAAAGAGCUCGUAGGCGGUUCGUCGCGUCUGGUGUGAAAGUCCAUCGCUUAACGGUGGAUCGGCGCCGGGUACGGGCGGACUGGAGUGCGGUAGGGGAGACUG
rnacentral:rRNA from 1 species